rnacentral:rRNA from 1 species
CCCUUAGAUGUUCUGGGCCGCACGCGCGCUACACUGACGAAGUCAGCGAGCAUGUCCUACGCCGACAGGUGCGGGGAAUCUUGUCAAACUUCGUCGUGAUGGGGAUUGAUUAUUGAAAUUCUUGAUCAUCAACGAGGAAUUCCUAGUAAGCGCAAGUCAGCAGCUUGCGUUGAUUACUUCCCUGCCCUUUGUACACACCGCCCGUCGCUACUACCGAUUGAAUGGUUUAGUGAGAUCUUCGGAUUGGCGCCACUGCGGCUCAGCAAUGGGCUCGGUGGAUGCCGAAAAGUUGAUCAAACUUGAUCAUUUAGAGGAAGUAAAAGUCGUAACA